AGUACUUUUUCCUGGUGUUCACUAAAUUGUUAACAUAGGAUAAGGUUGGGCAGCUUCGAUAUCUAUUUAUGUGGGAAGUGGUGUGGUUUGUGGAAGGGAGAAAGACCCAAACAAGUCUAGCAAUACCCGUCCCGAUUAGAUUCUUAACGGAGGCUGGUCCUUGAUACUAUAGCUGCAAAAAGUGAUACCAAGGAUUUGUUCACAAAAAAAUGGCUAGGAGUGUCAAAGAAGAAAAAACUAUGUUUGUUUGUAAUUCACUAAUACAAUGUAAAGGACAUUCGGCUUCGGGUUAAGCUCUCGCAUUGACUCGAUUCCAGUAUUGUAUGAAGCAAGGAUGAAACACACCAAACCCUGUCUUCACUUGGGUACUCGAUGCCUAUCCUGUAGAAGCACCAAUCUGCUAUAUAUCUCCUACAGCAAACAUCUGCAGCGAAGUAUCAGCGAAUAUUAGCGAAAGUGGCUUCAUGCAUCCUUUCUGUCUAAACAGCUGGGACCAUGCCAAAUGUGGGAGCUAUAUUUUUUCGUAGAAGGCCGUUUACAGAGAUAUAAUAGAUCUAAUUCAACGUUCACCAGAGACAUUAGCGAAGCAGUCGCCUGUUUUUUCCUACCUCGUUUCAUGUCUUAUUAUACUAGGCGUAGGCUGCUUUAAUCAUUUAUAUGGUGCAAUCCUUCAUGAAAUAAGUCUGAAGCAUGCUUCCAUUAUCCGUCUUUUCGACGCAAUCGACUUUUCAAAGUAAAUCUAUCUUACAAAAUUUGAUUAGGGUUGAAGCUAACCCAUAGAACAACUUAUUUAAGAUUUGAAUUAAA